GUUUUUAUUCUCAUACUCGUCUGGGCUCUCGUACAACAAACAUCUUUUGGAAGUAACCGAAAAGUAAUUUUCUGACAACCUACUUCCGUAAUCAGGCUAAAAGCAAAACAAAAAAAAUGUGUAAUCCUUGCUUGCGUUCAAUGCCUGGCACCUGUUGUGGACCAACAGGUGGACUGGGGCCCUGUGGCUUUUGCGGACCCUACAAUGGACAGUGGUUUCGGGCGAUAAACCACUGCUGCGGUCCAAUUGGACCAUACGGCUGUUGUUCAUGCUACGGACCCUUUGGUGGACACUGUUAGCCUGCUUAGAAGGAUAGUAGGUUUCAGCAAACAUAUCAAAAGACUGGUUAUCGGCUAAAGACGUAAUAGAUUUUAUUAAAAGGAAGAGGCUUCUGUGAUUUGGUUGCCGAUUCCUAAGCUAUAUAUAAGUAAUAGACCGAAACUUGUGUUGUCUCAAACAAUAAAUCGACUGUGAUUCUUAAU